rnacentral:rRNA from 1 species
AUGUCUCCUAGGUAUCAGAAUGUCAUCCAGACAUAUGGCAUGGGUUGUCUCUUAAACUUUGUUAGGACUGAGGUUCCUCUUAGGUUAGUGAAGUGGCUUGCUAGUAGGUUUGACAUACCUUCAUCUGAAUUUCAGUUCAAAAGAAAAUUUAUCCCAGUGACCAAGUAUGAUAUCCAUGAUAUCCUUGACCUCACAGUAGAUGGUGAGCCACUUGUGUGUGAUCCUGACUCUGGCCGUGAUUUUAUCCUGUCUCACUUCAAUGUUUCCAAUAUUCCUCCUGUCUCUUUCUUCACCAACAAGCUUAAGUCCACCGAAGUCGAGUUGUCUGAUGAAGAAAUUUUCAUUUGCUUUGCGUUGUCCUCAUUCCUUUGUCCCAACUCUAGCCUCAGUCCUAGCCCAAAGUACCUGCAUAUUCUCAGGGAUUGUUCUUCUAUGUGUAACUAUGAUCUGGCCAGAUUUGUAUAUGAGUGGUUGUUGAGCAGCAUAAAAAAGUUCAAGGAUUGCACAAAAGUUGCUUCUAAAAGAUCAAUGACGUUUGAUGGUUGUCACUAUGCUUUUGCUGUGUGUUACCUUGACCAACUUAAUUUUGGUCUCCAUUCUGUACCUGAUAUCAAGCCUCGGAUUCUAGCAUGGAGAGGUAACAAAGUUAAGAAAUUUUCAGAGCUUGAUAGAAACAAUAGCCGCUCUUAUGGCAAGAGACCUCUAAAGCGGUUGUGUCCUCCAAUUAAUCCGCAGCAGUCUAUUGAGAAAUCUUCAGCAAGCAAGGAUGGUGAUGUUCCCCCUUGUAGUGACAUGCUUUUUGAAAUGAAUGUGCAGAAAUCCUUGGGUGCUCGUUUUGGGUUUGAGGCUGCUCAAGUAGUUAUAGACCUUGUUCAAUCCAGGAACAAAGACAAGCCCAAGCUGUUUGUAGAAUGGUCACACUCCCUUGUAAUUGAUGUUCUAGAAUGCUUAUCACUCUCUACUCUAAAUGCCAAAUUUGUCCUGGCACCUAAAGUUUCUUCAAGUGAGGGUCAUUCUCUCAACUAG